UGGGGAAUAUUGCACAAUGGGCGAAAGCCUGAUGCAGCGACGCCGCGUGCGGGAUGAAGGCCUUCGGGUUGUAAACCGCUUUUAAUUGGGAGCAAGCGAGAGUGAGUGUACCUUUUGAAUAAGCACCGGCCAACUACGUGCCAGCAGCCGCGGUAAUACGUAGGGUGCAAGCGUUAUCCGGAAUUAUUGGGCGUAAAGAGCUCGUAGGCGGUUUGUCACGCCUGGUGUGAAAGUCCAUCGCUUAACGGUGAUCUGCGCCGGGUACGGGCAGGCUAGAGUGCAGUAGGGGAGAUUGGAAUUCCCGGUGUAACGGUGGAAUGUGUAGAUAUCGGGAAGAACACCAAUGGCGAAGGCAGAUCUCUGGGCUGUUACUGACGCUGAGGAGCGAAAAGCAU
rnacentral:rRNA from 1 species